ACAGUGAGUUGUAUAUUGCCAAUUAAAAUGAUUGACUGCUAUAUCUUCCUUUGUAAAUAUUUUAGGCAUUAUUUAUUUCCUGUUAGAUACACUACUUCUAUUAUGCUACCACCCUCACUUCCCUUCUUUCUUUUCUACAAGUAUAGUUAGCUUAACUUUUGCUAAAAUAAAUAUUUACUAAUAAACAUAAUUAUGGCUGCAUAAAUAUUAUUUCUAAGCCAAUUAGUAUGCCAUGAUUACAUUUCCUUUCUUAUACAAUUUCUUUAUUUUUCCUAAAGUUAUUAAUUACCUAACGUUUAUAAAAUUUACUUAGAUUUCUCUCUACUUUAUAGUGAUUCUCUCUAUAGACUCUUGCAGAGCUAUGAGCCUCCUCUUAAUGCUAUUAUGUGUUCCACAUUGUCAAAUGCAUGAGAUAAUGUAGCAUUUCUUUCUCUCUUUUUUUCCUAGAUACUUGCCUCCUCAAGUUUUCUGUCUUCCUACUAUAAUUGAGGCUGAUUAUCUCUAAGCCUGCAGCAUAGCUAUUAUCCCACACUUUCCUUUUGCCAUCUUUGGAACUUUCCUUAACCUUUCUCCUGUGUUGGAUUCCUUGUAUCAUCUAUUUCACAGCUUACUCUUUUUUUAUUUACUCAUUACUAUGGUAAAUAUUCUCCAUCAGCCUCUUGAGAAAGGAUAUAUAGGAAAUGUUAAGUGUCGAGUCCUUUCAUAUUUCAAAACGUCGAUAUUCUAAUUCACAGUUGACUAAUGGCAUUUGGAUGGUUUCCAAUUUUCCUCUCUUACAAACUCAUGCUUCAGUUAAGAUUCUUGUAACAUCUCCUUCCAUAAGUGGAUAACAUUUUCUGUUACAUGCACUUAGAUGUAAAACUGUUGGAUGUUAAAAUAGGAAUAAGUUUAAUUAUAUAAGAUAUUGCCAAAUUCCUCUCUAAUGUAAUUUCUACCAAUUCAUACCUCAUGAGAAGGGUUAAAGUGUUCUCAUUUAGGUUAUUUUUAAUUCAUUAUGCUGGCCACCCAAUGAGCCCUUUCAAUCUGGAGAUCCUUGUCCUUUAGUGCCAAGAAAAUAUCUGGCAGUAUUAUCUUAAUAAUUUUUUUCUCAAUUUUUACUCUUCCUAGAAGUCGUAAUAAACUCAGACCAACCCUCUAAAUACAUUAUCUGAUUUUCUUGCUUUUAUUCUUAUAUUGUUCUAUUUUUAAGUUUUUACCAUUUAGCUUUAUUGACCUUCUUUAAUGUAUGUUUUUCAAUUGACAAAAAUUGUAUAUAUUUAUUAUGUAUAUCAGGAGUCCCCACCCCCAGACUAUGGACCGGUACCAGUCUGUGGCCUGUUAGGAACUGGGCCAUGCAGCACGAGGUGAGCGGCAAGUGAAGGAAGCAUCAUCUGUAUUUACAGCUGCUCCCUAUCACUCACAUUAUUGCCUAAGCUCCACCUCCUGUCAGAUCAGUGGAGGCAUUAGAUUCUCACAGGAGUGCAAACCCUAUUGUGAACUGCACAUGCAAGGGAUCUAGGUUGUACACUCCUUAUGAUAAUCUAAUGCCUGAUGAUCUGCCACUGUCUCCCAUCACCCCCAGAUGGGACAAUCUAGUUGCAGGAAAACAUGCUCAAGGCUCUCACUGAUUCUACAUAAUGAUGAGUUGUAUAAUUAUUUCAUUAUAUAUUACAACAUAAUAAUAAUAGAAAUAAAGUGCACAAUAAAUGUAAUGUUCUUGAAUCACCCUGAAACCAUCCCUUUCCCACGGCCUGUGGAAAAAUUAGCUUUCACAAAACCAGUCCUUGGUGCCAAAAGGCACUGAUGUACAUAAUGUUUUGAAAUAUGUAUACAUUGUGGAAUGGUUAAACCAAGCAAGUUAACAUAUGCACUAAUUCCUUUAUCAUUUGUUCGUGGUGAGACACUUAAAAUCUACUCUCUUAGCAAUUCUCAAGCAUACAAUACAUUGUUAUUAACUAUAGUCACCAUGUUGUACAGUAGAUCUUGAACUUAUUCUUCUGUUUAACUGAAAAUUUUGUGUCCUUUGACCAAAAUGCAUUUGUCUGACAUUUGUACACCUUCUUUUUCUUGGAAAAUUUUCCAACUUUUUUUCUUUGUUGGACAUUUUUAACUUGAGUUAGUGUAUUUUCCAGGAUCCUUUUCUUCUUUGCUAAUACUUUUUUUUCAAAAUCAUCUUGUAGCCUCUUCAUGGAGGAAAUAUAUUUUCUCAUAUUUCUAAGGAUAUUAAUCAUAGUUGGAUUUUUUCUUCUUUAUGUUUUCUAUGAUGUAUCUGUUUAAUUUUUAAAUUCCUUUUAUCUUAUUUAUUCUUUCUUUUGAUCAGAAUUGUUUCUUAAACAUCUGGCAAUCCUUGGGUCCUCCUUUAUAUUUUAGAAUGAUACACUCAAAUAUAUAUGGGAGCCUUUGUAGCCACUGGCUGAGUCUGACAACCGGUAGGCUUUAACAGAGAAUGCACGAAGACUUCUGUUAGUACUUCUAUCUCUUGCCUUCACUAUGGAUCAACCACAUUGUCUACCAUACUUGUCCCUUACUCUGGAUUCUCUCUAAUCCAGAAAUAAGCUGGUUUCCUUCUGAUCCAGAAAAUAAACUUCAGGUCUCCUUAGGAAUGUACUGUGGGAAGGGAAGAUCGGUCUUCAAGUGGUUGUCAUUCUCUAAUAUUGGCACAGUGAAUGGUGUCCAACAUACAUUAAGAAUCCUCAGGGUUUGGGCUCCUCUAACUCUUCAAAACAUUGACAUCGCAAGCCCAGUGCGUUCAGAAAUCACAGGCGAAAUCUCUAACCAAAAAUUAAGCCAAGCUGUCCAUUGGCUCAUGGUUGGAUAUGUAAAAUCUCCAAUAUUCGCCUAGAAGCAGGAGGCACAAGGUGAAUACUAAGGCCUUCUUAUGGACUGCUAUCCUGAAAGGCAAUCACAAAAC
rnacentral:lncRNA from 1 species